ensembl:lncRNA
ACACAUUCUUUAAAUCUGAAAGAAACCAAGCUGGAUUUUGCAGUGCAUAUGUUUGCUAGCUUCCCACAUCCUGAACCAUGUCAAAAUUUGGUUAUAUUUAGUUAUAUAUAAUUUAAUGCAAAGAAAUUCUCAGUUACUUAAUGUUCUGUUUAUUUAUGAGUGCCUAUCAGGAACACUAAUAGGAAUGCCAUUCAACUGGUGUCUUCUCCUGCCCUUCUCCCAGCUGUUAAAUUAGUACUUUCUUCUUCAUUGGCUUUCUGAAAUGCCCUGAGUAAAGUAGAAAAGCGACCUUUGUAUGGAUGUGGGGAUAUUUAAUACUAUGUAUCUUGUUUCAUUUUUUUCUAGGGUGUAUUAAUAUUUAUUUUUCUCCAACGCCUGCUCCAUUUUCUUAAAAUAUUUUCCAGUUAAUAGUUGCUUUAUUUCCUAGCUGAAGUGAGAAAACCAAGAGAAAACAACACAGAUUUGGGCAGAGGAGAUACAGUUAGAUCCUUAAAGGAGUCAGCCACCCACCCAGAAGGAGAAUCACAUGUGUAACUGAUGUAGGGGUUUAAGCCUUCUUUUACUUUCGCUAAAAUCAGUCUACUAACUCUUCCACCAACCUUUGCAUCAAACACUUAGGUAGCUGCCUGAUUAGGGGGCCCCUUGAAGGGGGAAAAAAAAACUUUUAAAAAAUUAAAUGCCUUGGUUUUAUCUUCUGGGAAAGAACACUUUUACUUAAUUAGCAAGAUGAUUACAUUAUAUAACUUGCCCUUAAAAACACUCCAAAAUACUGACUCCUUUGCUCCAAUUACAAGUGAGAGAGUGAAGAAAUUCUGUUGUAUGAUUUGAACACUAUUAGGUUUGUAUGUGUGUUUAAUUGGAAGAAUUUUAUAUAGAGUAUCUCUGCUUCUUUUGUUUCCCUGGGUACCACACAACCAAAUACACAUUGAGAUUUCAAGAAAUAAGGAUGAAAGCCAGAAGGCCAGACCACAGCUCUGCAGCCUAUUUCCUACUAUCAGAUAUGAAACUCUUUCUCAUUACCAUGCUGAUAGUCACACUGAACUAGAACUGUCCCAACACAUACUUUCUCUCUCAUAGUGGCUUCCAUUUAACACAGGCAAAGCCCUUUACCUUAGCAAAUUCUUUAUCUUUCAAAAGUGACCAAAAUGAGGACUUCAACCUUGGUUGCUCCUCAAUAGAGAUGCUGAUCUUGAGUUGUAAUGAGAAAAGUGGACAUAUAGAUUUUAGUGACUGCAGUCAGCUCUCUGGCAUUCCUUUCUCAGUUUGCAUCUAAAAGACUACAAUAUGUCAAGCUUAUCUCCACCUGAAUUUGCUGCCUACUAUAAAAACAUUUCAUUAAUAUAUCUCAUUCUUCCUACCUCCAUCUCUGGUUUGUCAUUAGUGGUAUUCUGAAAAGCUUAAGAAAAAAGAAUCAUUGAGUAGAAAGUGAACAUUUUAAGUUAUUUUCCUUUUUCACUGGCAAUUAGUUAACAUGUAAAAUCUUUUCCAUUAAACUCUAUAACUUUUAAUAACUAUAUAUUAUAUAUGGGAUAAAAUAUAUGGACUGAAUUGUGAGAAUAUAAAUGCAUCGAGAGACUCUGGUGUCAUGAAAGCACAAGAAUAAGGCUGGAGAUGGUCCCAGAUCCAAGAUGUCCCAAAAGCCUUUUGUAUCAGUUUCUCUAUUUUUGGUAUUUUGCAUAAUGCAUGGAUCCUUAGUUCAAAUGAGGGACACAGUUUCUCAGCCCCACUUCUUUCUUUCCAACUCCUACCUUUCCCUUGCAGAGGAGGUAGUAGAGAUUCUGAAUUAUCUAUUAUGAAUUCUAUUAUUUUGUCCAUGGCAUCUCUAAUGAAAACAGGUUCUAGAAUAAAGGAGUUGAUUAGUCUGAACAGUACUAAUUAACUACAAAAAUGUUAGUGAUCAGCCUCUUCCUCUAUAAACGAUGACCAAUUAGAUGUUUCCAUAAUUCCAUGUAUUAUGUAUAGUACACUCUAUAAAUGUAAAUGUAAUGCUUGUCUAAAAAGUGCAAUUUAUUGUACAUUGUCCCAACAAAUGUUUACUUUUAUAAUUGUUAUGAACUUGAAUUGGAUUAGUAUUUUGUUUUUAUGUGUGAAUGAAGCCUUGUGAAAUAAACAAAUGCAACUGAGAAGGUAACAAGGUGACUGUUUUUGUGAGCCAGUGAUGUUUUCAAUGCUUUGUGUUGCCCCUUUGGCCCCAUUAAGCAGUAAUAAACAUUUGUUCUGAAGU